UGACAGAUACAGGAAUCUAUGAAAGAAGGGACUUCAGGGCAGGCACCCAAGAAUGAGACCGUAAUUGUUUCUGGUGCUUCAACAAAGAUGGAUGACUUUGGAAUAGACAAUAGAGGCCACUUUGGUGUGCUCAGGAAGAUGAAAUUGAAGUCUGGCAUUUUGACAUGGAUGAAUAUGAAGACCAAGGGAUUUUUCAUAAGGAAAGAUAGAUACUCUAGCUAUUAAGAAGUACUGCCAUCAAUUGAAGCAUCAAGAAGUCCAAGAUAUCUUCAGCAAAGGAAAAAUCACAAACAAGCUGAGGAUCAAGCCAGGUAAGCAGUCAGCAGCCAAAGGAUCAGGGAGACAAUCAGGAGUCUGAAAACAAGCCAAGGGUCGAACCAAUCAGACAGGAGAGAUAUGAACUGCACCAGAUCAGGAGAACCUCAAUACAGAGGCAAGUAUCAGGCCUCAGCCAG